GACGAACGCUGGCGGCGUGCUUAACACAUGCAAGUCGAACGGAAAGGCCCUGCUUUUGUGGGGUGCUCGAGUGGCGAACGGGUGAGUAACACGUGAGUAACCUGCCCUUGACUUUGGGAUAACUUCAGGAAACUGGGGCUAAUACCGGCUAGGAGCUCCUGCUGCAUGGUGGGGGUUGGAAAGUUUCGGCGGUUGGGGAUGGACUCGCGGCUUAUCAGCUUGUUGGUGGGGUAGUGGCUUACCAAGGCUUUGACGGGUAGCCGGCCUGAGAGGGUGACCGGCCACAUUGGGACUGAGAUAAGGCCCAGACUCCAACGGGAGGCAGCAGUGGAGAAUAUUGCACAGUGGGCGGAAGCCUGAUGCGGCAACGCGGCGUGCGGGAUGACGGGCUUCGGGUUGUAAACCGCUUUCGCCUGUGACGAAGCGUGAGUGACGGUAAUGGGUAAAGAAGCACCGGCUAACUACGUG
rnacentral:rRNA from 1 species